CCAGACUCCUACGGGAGGCAGCAGUGGGGGAUAUUGCACAAUGGGGGGAACCCUGAUGCAGCGACGCCGCGUGGGUGAAGGAGUGCUUCGGCAUGUAAAGCCCUAUCGGCAGGGAAGAAGCAAGACGGUACCUGACUAAGAAGCCCCGGCUAACUACGUGCCAGCAGCCGCGGUAAUACGUAGGGGGCGAGCGUUAUCCGGAUUCACUGGGUGUAAAGGGAGCGUAGACGGCCAUGCAAGCCAGGGGUGAAAGCCCGGGGCCCAACCCCGGGACUGCUCUUGGAACUGCGUGGCUGGAGUGAAGGAGGGGCAGGCGGAAUUCCUGGUGUAGCGGUGAAAUGCGUAGAUAUCAGGAGGAACACCGGUGGCGAAGGCGGCCUGCUGGACUGCAACUGACGUUGAGGCCCGAAAGCGUGGGGAGCAAACAGGAUUAGAUACCCGCGUAUAC
rnacentral:rRNA from 1 species